CGGAGGNGAAUAAACCNGNNGGGNNGNNGCUGGUUCCCUAGGGAGCAUGUGCACACCUUGUCAUCUUUAUAUCUCCACCUGUGCACCUUUUGUAGGCCUUUCAGGUCUAUGUUGCUUCAUUUACCCCAAUGUAUGUUAAUAGAAUGUUGUGACUAUAAUAUCUAUACAACUUUCAGCAACGGAUCUCUUGGCUCUCGCAUCGAUGAAGAACGCAGCGAAAUGCGAUAAGUAAUGUGAAUUGCAGAAUUCAGUGAAUCAUCGAAUCUUUGAACGCACCUUGCGCUCCUUGGUAUUCCGAGGAGCAUGCCUGUUUGAGUGUCAUUAAUAUAUAUAUCAAACCCCCCUCUCUUGUCGAGUGGUUUGGAUGUGGGGGUUUGCUGGCCUCUUGAAGGGGUUCAGCUCCUCUGAAAUGCAUUAGCAGAACAACAANCUGUUCAUUGGUGUGAUAACUAUCUACGCUAUUGAAUGUGAGGGUAAAAGUUCAGCUUUCUAACCGUCCAUGGACAAUUUAUCAUUAAUGUGACCUCAAAUCAGGUAGGACUACCCGCUGAACUUAAGCAUAUCA
rnacentral:rRNA from 1 species